rnacentral:lncRNA from 1 species
AACUGAGGUAAGCAAACCCAGAUAGCCGUGGAAUCGAUUUUAGAGUCUUUUGAAACAAAAUUCGAUUCCCAAUUUUGAAUGGACAUGAAGGUACCCGCAACGAACCAGGGCUCUCCUUGCAAGAUCUUUGCUUGGCCAGCAGGAUUUUAUAAUUUGACGGUAUAGAAAUCAAAACCCGAGUCGAUCAGACAAAGUGGUUCAGAUAACCUCCAAAGGGCUUCCAACUUCGUUUUCAAAUACUGGUGAGUGGAUUUAUGGCCGAAGGCUUUGACAAUCAGAUAGUGUUGCCAAGACGAAUACAAGCGAUUCAUAUCCUCGAGACUGAAGGUAAUCAAGGAGUCAUCUAGAUCAAUGGAUGAGGGAGUGGUCGAUGAGGCUUCAACCGAAAUUAAGGGCGAAACUAGCUUGUUGGUAGUAAUAUCGCGGUAUGAUGGUGGAUUUUUGGACGGUAGAGAGACCAUAGGGGUAUUAUCUAAUAGAGAGGUGUGGCUUCCAGCAUCAUGGAGUCCAUGACAUAGAGAAGUAGUAGGAAGAUAACUGGGAACUUUGUGGAUAAAACAAGAGGAAGAAAAUAGAAAGUGGGUAAAAGAG